AGAAAAUACCCUGAACAGGAGUAAUUUCCUUUACAGAAAGGUCUAGGAAAUUACUCAAUACUUUCAUAAAAUAUAUAUUUAAAACUUUUUUCAGAAUUAUAUAGCUAGCUGUUUUUCAAAUGACCCCACCACUUUAUCCAUCAAUAUGCUUCUCUCUUCUCCUCCAGAUUCACUCUCUAUUUUUUUUUCCAACCUUCUCUGUGCCUGGGGACUUACCUGUAAGGAUUGUAUCAAACAACACAUUUGCCCUCUGGCUUCUGAUUGUGUUCAGCCAGUGGCAAUCUCCCUAGAGAGGGAGGUCAGAACAUAUAUACUCUAGGGGCUCUCCCUGCUAGAUCACAAAAGG
rnacentral:lncRNA from 1 species